rnacentral:lncRNA from 1 species
CGGGGACCGCGAGGGCAAGGGCACCUGGGAGCCCGCAGAGGGGCGGCUGAGGGAGAAACCUCAGGCAUGGCCGGGCCACCAGGAAAACACGGCCGCGGGAUCCCACCGCCACAGACACGAGGGCGGUCCCGCGGCGCCCCGCCUGGGACGCCGGAAGGCCCUCGGCACCCACCAAGACCUGCCUCACGAGCCCCUGGUCCCGCCACCGGGGCCCCGAAGCGACCACAGCCACAAACUCAACGCCAGGGCCACAUCGCUCGUGAUUCUCGUCCAUCCUCCGACCCGGUCCCGCUCCGGGAGACCGGCGCGCCCCCACCGUGGGACGCUUUCCCAGGGCCAGGCGGCCCGACCACGUGCCACGCAAACGCCGUCGUCCGCACCGGUCGCGACUCGGCAAGGGAGCGGGCGGAGAGCUGACUCGCGGCGGAGGGGGGUCACUCGCCGGACGGAACGCUGCGCGCAGCCAUCGCUCGCUGUCAGCCGCGUCCCAACCCGCUAGGACGCUGGGCCCUGCCGGCGGGAUCCUCCCCUUACUCGGAAAGGGGAGGCGCCGGCCACAGUAGGCGACGAGCCGCGCUCGGCCACCACCGCGGUGGCCGGCGGAACCCUCGCUCUCCCCCCGUCACCCCGUCGAGGGGGAAGCUGAGGAGGGUUCCUCUGCAAGCGAGUCGCUACUGCAGCGCUACCAUAACGGAGAGAGAGACAGAGGCGGCAGGCCGGGGGAUCCCGUACCCCAAGGCACACCUCUUGGAUCGCUAGAGAAGGCUUUCUCACCGAGGAUGGGUCACACUCCCCACCCGCCAGCCGCCCCUCGUGGGGCCCGAGGGGCCCGCAGAGGCGCUCAGGGAGGCCUGGGGAAGGGAGGGGGCCUGUGGUACCAGGAAAAACCUGCGUGCGGCAACCUUGAGCGUUCGCGGUCAGGGCGGGGACCGGCAGGUGCGAGCGUGAGCGCAACUCCACAAGCCCCCGCCUCCCACCCCCCCCCCCACCCCGUCCACCCGCCUCUUUUCUUCAGAGGCAAAGCACCUCCGAGUAAACCCACACACGACCGGUCGGAGGCAGAACGGUAGCCCCUCGGCGGCCGGCCGGCGCACGCGUCACCAGCCCAAGCCCACCGCGAUCGCUCACAGGGCCCGUGCGCACCCGCCAGAGGGGAGCACCGGACGUGCGCUCGCCGGACCAGGCGGGCGCCCUUCCCCGCGUGGGAGGGGCGCGUCUCGUCUCACUCAACCGCCUCGAACCCCACACCGACGAGCUCCCUCAGGACCCACGCGCGGACACCGAGGCGCCGACCGGAGGAGGGGGCGCUGGGGGUGGGAACGACACACCACCGCUCGGCCUCGGGAACCUGAGGGACAACCCGGAGCGCUCCAGGAGCACCGCAAAGGCCCAGGGGGAGCCAACGCUCGCGCAAACUCCCCGGGAGGGCAGCACGACGGGCCGGCGGGACAGCACCCCCACCGCUGCGGAGGGGGGCCGCCCGCAAGUCGACAACCACAGGAGGCGAGAGCGAGGGGUGCCUGCCGCGUCAGAGGACCCCCCGACCCACCCCGCGAGGCAGAAGGCGGGGGCGGGACAGCGAGGUCAGGCCGGGUUCCGCACCCCAUGCCUUCCCAACGCACCACCCGCAGGCGAGGAAGAGGAGAGACAAGGGGCCCCCGCGGGCGGGACGAGAAGAAGGGUCCCAUUCGCCACGAAUGUCCGCCCCUCGCCCGUCGCGGCUCGGACACGGCCAGGGAGAGCAUGACAUCACCAUAUUCUAUUCUUACAAGAGUGCUGCCACGUAAGUGUCAAUGAAUGUUUGUGAAAUAAAUGAGGGACUAAAGGAGUGAUCGAACAAAUAAAAAUAAGUUAUCUGUGUGUAUUGUAUGUGUGAAUAAGAUUUUGAGUUUGGCCAAGGCAGUUAAUCACAUAUUAACAACUCUUUAGAUACAUAAGGUUUAUAGCAAUGAGGUACAAAAUUGGUUCAACACCAAAUUCUAAGAUGAAACAAGGUUUAUGUUCAGAAAUAUAGUGUUACUUUUUCUAAUAUCAUUUGCCCUCCAACUAUCAGCAUGACACAUGCAAACCAUUGAUACGUGUUUUUUUUUUUUGUAUUGAAGAUUCCACAUGAAGAAAAAUUAUUAUAUUUCCAAUAGGAAGUCCUCUUCUAAAUGACAACAAAUCUGAGGGUGAACACAUUUGUUAAAAAGAGAGAGAUUAAAAAGUUAAGAUGCUGUUUGUACAGUAUAUAACUGAACAAAGUUGUAUCUAGCAAUUUGACAAGAAAGGUAAAACAGAAUAUUAACCUCAGCACACAAGUUUAGCUAAUGAUCUGGAACGGGGAGUUGUGAGUAGAGAGGAGGACAAAGAUGAAAGACAACCAUUUAUCCCAAG